rnacentral:rRNA from 1 species
CCUACGGGUGGCAGCAGUGAGGAAUAUUGGUCAAUGGGCGGGAGCCUGAACCAGCCAAGUCGCGUGAGGGAAGACGGUCCUAUGGAUUGUAAACCUCUUUAGGCGUGGAGCAAUGCCGGGCACGUGUGCCCGGAGGGAGAGUACCCGCAGAAUAAGCAUCGGCUAACUCCGUGCCAGCAGCCGCGGUAAUACGGAGGAGGCGAGCGUUAUACGGAUUUAUUGGGUUUAAGGGGUGCGGCGGCGGAUUUUUAAGUCAGCGGUAAAAUGUCCGGGCUCAACCCGGGCCGGCCGUUGAAACGGGGGAUCUUGAGUGGGCGAGAAGUAUGCGGAAGGCGUGGGGUAGCGGUGAAAGGCAUAGAUAUCACGCAGAACUCCAAUUGCGAAGGCAGCAUACCGGCGCCCGACUGACGCUGAGGCACGAAAGCGUGGGGAUCGAACAGGAUUAGAUACCCUUGUAGUC